UACAGGGGGUGCGAGCGUUAAUCGGAAUUACUGGGCGUAAAGCGUGCGUAGACGGUUAUUUAAGUCGGGUGUGAAAGCCCCGGGCUCAACCUGGGAAUUGCAUUCGAGACUGAAUAGCUAGGGUACGGUAGAGGGAAGUGGAAUUUCCGGUGUAGCGGUGAAAUGCGUAGAUAUCGGAAGGAACAUCAGUGGCGAAAGCGACUUCCUGGACCAGUACCGACGUUCAGGCACGAAAGCGUGGGAGCAAACAGG
rnacentral:rRNA from 1 species